UGAGUCGGUCAGGCGGCCGCGUCGAGCCCUCCGGGGUCUCGCCGAGGAACGUCCGGGCUCCACAGGGCACGGUGGUGGCUAACAGCCACCCGGGGUGACCCGCGGGACAGUGCCACAGAAAACAGACCGCCCCCGGUCCGCCGGGGGUAAGGGUGAAACGGCGGUGUAAGAGACCACCAGCGCGCCGGGUGACCGGCACGGCUCGGUAAACCCCACCGGGAGCAAGACCAGACAGCACGCGUUCGAGGGCGGCCCGCCCGAGCGUGCGGGUAGGUCGCUGGAGGCGUCUGGCAACAGGCGUCCUAGAUGGAUGGUCGCCCCCGUCGCAGUGCCGGCAACGGCGCGGCGGGACAGAACCCGGCGUAUCGACCGACUCAUCCA
rnacentral:RNase_P_RNA from 1 species